UUAUUUUUGAGAAAAAGAGAGACAGUGAGAGGGGAGGGGCAGAGAGCGAGGGUGAGGCACAGAAUCCGAAGCAGGCUCCAGGCUCCAAGUUGUCAGCACAGAGCCCCACGCGAGGCUCGAAACCCACAAACCACGAGACUGUGACCCGAGCCAAAGUCAGAUGCUUAACUGACUGAGCCACCCAGGUGCCCCCGACACUGGUUAUUUUCUGGUUUUUUGUUUUGUUUUGUUUGUUUGUUUGGAUAGUAGUAAUUCCUAAUCUCCUAGGUGUUUGUACCUACUACCCACCCCCCACCUAGCCCUGACACCCUGCCUCAAGUCACUUGUGUCCUCUGGCCGAGAGGGUCACAUCCUCUGGGCACAGACAAUCAUUUCUGUAUCCCCUUCAGUGACCAGCACACUUGUCAUGUUGAAUGAUCCCUGGUUUCCCGGAAGAUUACACUCUGCAGGGGGAAGUAAAAAAUUUACAUAUUCUGGAAAGACCAAGUUGGGCGUGGCUGGGACUACCUUAGGGCCACCGACAGGGAGUAGCCACAGUAGGCUCCCUCCUUCUGGUCUCCACAUUUCUUCACCGCUCUCGGAGAUAAAUAGACUUCUUGGAAUGUCGACACAAGGUCUGACCCACCCCACUGCCCCAGCCUGGGUUCCAGGGAACCCCUUCCUGCCCCCCUGUCUCAGGGUCUCUGAACACCCAGGUCUCCUGAGCACACGCUCUGUGUCAUCCUGGCUUUCAAGGCCCAGCUCAGGCACCUCACCAGCACCCUUUCCCCAGCCGGAAGCCCUCACACUGUCCCUCCAGCUCCCACGGGCCCGUCCAAGCUUUCUGCUGUGGCACAGGGAGAAGAGCAUGGGACGGAAAUCUGAAGAUCUGAGUCUGAUCCUGGCUGUCUCUCCAGCUGGCUUUUUGUCGUGGCUGACAAAUUCCUCCUCGAAGAGCCAACCCAAAUGCUGUCUCCUCUGACGCCUCUUGCUCUCCUCUGCGAGCCGGCCUUCCCCCGAACCCCAGCGACUCCGGGGUGCUAUCUCGAUGAUCCCAGAAUCAACAGCAUUUUGUCUCCUCCGCCAGACUGUGGGUCCCGAGGAGCACAUCACCUCCUCCUCCUCCUCAUCGCUGACACCCCAGUGCACCUGCCAGCUGUUUGCAGACAAAAGAAGGUGAAGUCAGUGGGAUUAAACACAAGGAGAGCAUUGUGCGUUUGGGACAGUCAAGAUGUUCUUCCGUUUCAGCGGUGUAACAUGUGAGGAUGUAGCCUCACAGAGCCCAGGCCUAGGGCCCAUAGCAGCGGAGCGGAGAGAGUUAAGCAUCUCCCUUAACUCCUAUCUCUCUCGGCCAUGGCCCUCCCAAACCCUGGGGGUUCCCGUGUGGUGGCUGUACCCAGCUGCUCCUGCUGGCACUCGGAAAGGGCCACUAAGCAGAUCGGGGAGGGGAGGGGUGGCCAACGUGCCAGCGGAUCUCCUCAGUGAGCUAAUGAUGAAUCCCCCCCCCCCCCCCCGCCACUAGAGGCUUUGUGACCCAGCUGGGGGCAAGGGAGGCCAGGAUCGCAGCCUGAUGCUGUGCUGUGCAACCCGACUUUUGGGAAAACAGCCACAAUGAAGCAAUCUGCCCCAGAAGGGUCCCAGGCCUCAGGAAUGCGGGCACAGAGGGGGCUGGGGCAGUGAGGCACUUGGGAAGGAGCAGGUAAAUGGAAAUCAGUGCUGUGCCACACGCGAGAGAGAGCCUGGGGGGAGAACCGUAGACUUGAGCAGUUUUCCAAAACUGCCUGGGCAUUAGAAUCACCUGGAGGCUUUUACCUGUCUUGUUAUGAAAGAGUUUAUUUUCUUUCUGUAGAGCCAUACCUAAAAAAAGAUGGGUAGUAACAUAAAAAAAAACAAAAACAAAAAAACAAAACACCAACCCCAGCCCAACUGCCAGGGUUUAUCCGUGUUACCAGAGAUACACAUGAGGUUACCUUAAGGCCCUCAAGGCAGAAUGAGCAUGUACGGUACAGGCAGAGGCCAGGAGCAUCGGUUGAAAGUGUGUUCAGGGAGGAGGACCCGGUCUUUGGCAACUCAGGAGACCACAGGCGUGUGUGGUCCACAGGGGCCGGCAGCGACAGAUAGGAGACUCUACCACGUGGGAUGGAAGUCAGCACAGACGCGAAGUCCCCACGGGUGGACCUCUAAGGUCCAAAGAUGGGGGCUGAGGAGGAUAUGGGGAGCCAGGUUCCAAGUCGCCGUCCAAGAGGAGUGGAGGAGAGAAGGCUUUUGUUUGUUAGUUUGAACCGUCGACUCCUGUGCUCUUGAACCAGCAUCUCCAGGGGCAAGGCCCUUGGUUCCCAGCGGAGCCAGCCUGGCACCGGUCCGAGGACAGGUGUGGUCAGCCACCGGGAUGGAUGAGGAGAGCGCUGUCAGGAGAUAAAGCUCUAAGCCAUGGACCCAGAUCUCCCAAGGAGUCCCGGGUGAUCUCAGCUACUUAUUCUGUACUCCUCUUCGUCUCCAUUUCUUCAUGUGAUCAAAGUAAGAGACCAUAACUCCUCUCCUACAGCUUUGAUGGAGGGAUUACAUGAGAUCAUGUAGAUGUUGGUGUUUGUUGGCCCACUAACCCUGGCGUGUGGACACACGGGGCUAGAGACCCAUUGCCUGUGUUAAUCAUCAAACGUCAGGAGAUCUGUGUGUGUUUAUGAUUCGUAAGGGGCGUCGUGAGGUAGGAGUGGGUUGAUGGCCCAGGCCUUGAUCCCAGAUGCCCACACCCUCUCAGAUGACACUGGCAAAGUCCACCUGGUUUGGGUCCCCCAUGCCAUUGGGAGCAUGUCUACUCCCCUACCAUGGUGGGGACCCACGCUAAGACCGGGGUGUCUCAGAUCGAAGAUUGCCUGUUUGACUGGCACCUGUUGCCCUCUGCGUGGCCUUCUCGGACCCCAAUGACCUUGAGAGAAUCCCUUGUCGCUCUGUCCACAGCUUCGCAGUAGGAGCUGCAGGAAAUGGUUCGGGGUCUCUGCAGCAGCCCCAGGGCCUUUCGGUAGAGCCAAGCAUCACUGGCCUUGUCGAGACCCUUGGUGGGUACCUUGGUGGCAGGAGUAUGUCAACUGGGGGCCAGAGGCAGGCCCGGCCACCGCCUGGCUGAUGGCUCAGAAGGAGCAGCUCAGGAACCCUCUGUGCCCAGAGGACUUUGACAUCUUUUCACUCCAACGCCGAGGACAGCCUUGUUCAUCUAGGAAGCUCUCGGGACUGAAGGUGGUCAUUCCUCCUGCCCACCCACCACCACCCUAGCAUUAGUGGAAAAUGCUCUUUGGAAGAGAAGGGUUUUUCCCCUUAGGAGGUCGCCAAGAGACAUCGGAACACAGGCAACCAGAGAAAGAUCUUGGAACCGGGGACUUGGGAGACCUGGGCCCUAACGCUUGCCAGAUGACCUUGAAACAAAGGGCUCGUCUUGGAAAGUGAGGAGGACGCCAGCCGGCCUGGCAAACCCACAGGUGGUUGUGAAGUCAGUGGAAAUGUGUUAGAAGGUGGAACCCCCCUGAGAGGUGUGAAACGCUCUCCAAACGGCAGGGGACACCACUGUCCUCGCCUCUGGCUUGUUGCCAGCCACGUCCUACUCACCCUUGCCUGGCACCUGUGCCAGUCCUCCUGGGCUUUGGCUCCUGUGGAUCCUCCACGUGGAGCACUGAACAACACUGUGAAAAUAAGUGAGGCGUACAGGGCUCUUGAAGAUGUCAAAAUUGAGCUCGUGCUUUUCUGCCAAUGCUGCUGCCUCUCGAGUCUUCUCCACCCGAGGAACAGAAUCUCCAUCGAGGGAGCCACACUGCACCAGCAAGCUGGACAUCCAUUCUAGUAGAUUCCAGGGCCAUGGCUUACUUUUCCCUCCACUGGGCCGGCAGGAAGUGUGCUGAGCAGAGAGUCAGAGAGGGGCUUGUUGGGGGAAAAGGGAGGAAGAAGAGGAAGGAGGGAGGGAGGAGGCCCCACGCGACAUGACCUCUAAAGUCCAGGCAAUCAGGAAUAAAGGAGUAAGAGCUGAAGGGAGGGACAGUCCCCAGCCCCCCAACCUGAACCCUACAGCAAAGAACUGUGUAAAACUUCAGGGUUUGGUUUGGGGAGGGCAAGGAGCCAGUAUCUGGAACUGGUAGAGAAAUGGCCAGCGUACUGUUCCAUUACCCAUCACCCCUAGGCGUUAGCCAUGCUCUCCCGCAGAUCACAGACCCCCGCAGGGUGCACCUUGCCUCGCCCCUGCCUACCUCGCCAGAGCCAUCCAGAGUGGGCUGUGCCCGCCGCCCGCCCCCCCCCCCCCGGCUUCGUCUGGCUGGUGCCUUUGUCCAGAGCGCUCUGCCCCCUGCCCGCCGUCCUCACCGUCAGGUCUCAUUCACACGACAUGCUGCUAACCGCUGUAGAGCGUACAAUUGACUGUCAUUUAGAACAUACACAACGUUGGGCGCCUGAGUGGCUCAUCUGACUUCGGCUCAGGUCAUGAUCUCACAGUUCGUGAGUUCGAGUCCCACAUCGGGUGAGCUCAAGCCCCAUCUCGGGUGAAAACUCUCUCUCUCACCCCCUCUGCCCCUCUUGGGAUUCUCUCUCUCUCUCUCUCUCUCUCUCUCUCUCUCUCUCUCUCUGUGCCUCUCACUCACCUGUGCCCCCCCCCUCAAAAGAACAUUUACAAUGUUGUACAGCCAUCCCCUCUCCCUAGUUCCAAAACAUUUUCAUCUUCCCAAAAGGAAACCCAUUAAGCGUUUACUCCCCAUUUCCGCCUCCGGGAGUCUGCUUUCUGCCUCUAUGAAUUUUCCUUUCUGGCCAUUUCGCUGCUAUGAAAGUUCACGUACGAGCAUGUGUCCGAAUACCUAUUUUCAGUUCUUUUGGGCAUAUACCUAGGAGUGAAUUGCUGGGUCAUGUGGUCAUUCUGCGCUUAAUUUUCUGAGGAAUCGUCCCUUUGUUUUUGACGUCUUCCUUACCCCUAGGUGUCUGUACCUGUGCCGUCCCACACCGUAGCCACCAGCCCUGUGUGGUUGUUUCCGUUUAAAUCGAUGAGCCACGGGGCACCUGGGAGGCUCAGUCGGUUGAGCGUCCGACUUCAGCUCAGGUCAGGAUCUCGAAGUUCGUGAGUUCGAGCCCCGCGUCGGGCUCUGUGCUGACAGCUCCGAGCCUGGAGCCUGCUUCUGAGUCUCUGUCUCCCUCUCUUUCUGCCCCUCCCCCACUCAUGCUCUCUCUGUCUCUGUCUCUCUCAAAAAUAAAUAAACAUUAAACAAAUCAAUAAAAUAAAAUAAAUGAAGUCUUUAAAAGAAAGAAAAAAGAGGCUGGAUCUGCCUCAGUCAUUUUUCAGGAGCCUAGAACAGUGUCUGGCAAUGGGUAUGCCUUGAAUGAACUGGUUAGCGUCAGAGUUGCUCAGCAGAACGGUCAAGUCUUCUACACAACCCAGAGGAACGUUCCGGUCCUCUCCUCAAAGGUCUGAGUUCGAGUCAGCCACGUGUUGUAUUUACACAUCUCUUCUAUCCCGAUCUCAGCGCCCAGGAAUGUCCGAUAGCUGUCCACACAAAACCCACCUCCCCUGAGUUAGAACUCAAGGUCCCUGCGGUUAACUCCGGUGGCUUCCACACCUUUCCGUGAACUCUGGUGGGGGAGCCGCCCCCAGGGUUUGUUGAUCCGUAACCCUGCCGCCGAAGCUGAGGGAAGUGAGUCAGCCUCUUGCCACACACACAGGGAUCCACACAGAAGGGACAGCAGACUUCAGGGCAUGAGGAAACACAUCUGACAAGUUGGUUGUUACAUCGAGAGAGCUGAUGUCAGCGGGAGCACUCCGCAGUCAGCAGACACCCGCAGGACAGGACGGGUUCUGUUUUGACCACACCCCUCUCAGCACUUCCAGGGCGAGCCAAAGGGGAAGAGCCCAGACACCAUGACUGGCAGAAAAGUGGCCAUUUGGGCAACCAGUGUAUAUGUUAUGAAAUCACGUUUCCAACAGAUAAGGCAGGGCCUUCGCGUGGCUGUGUGCGCCUAGGCCAAAAUGCCUCAGGAUAAUGGCUCCUGACCGCAAGAACGUCUGCGAUCCUCCCAUGUGAAACCAUCGCCUUGAGGCGCCUGGCUUCCUUAGCAACUCUUUUUUUUAAAUGUUUAUUUAUUUUUGAGAGAGAGUAAGUGGGGAAGGGGCAGAGAGAGAGGGAGACACAGAAUCGGAAGGAGGCUCCGGGCUCUGAGCCAUCAGCACAGAGCCCGAUGCAGCUUGAACCUACGAACCGUGAGAUCGUGACCUGAGCCGAAGUGGGACGCUUAACCGACUGAGCCACUCAGGCGCCCCCUUCCUUAACAACUUGUAACAUACAUCUGCCGCUGCCCCCCACUUUCCUCACGGAGGCCGUCGGCUUCCUCCGUGAACCCCAGAGCAGAGGUGUGCAAUGCUGGCUUGCACAUUGGACUUCUGCAGAGAGCUUUUUAAAAUCCCAGCACUCAGGCCGCACCCGGACCAAUGAAGCCGGAAUCUGUGGGCGCUGGGUGUGGGCAUUGGUGUUACCUAAACUCCUCAAGGUGGUCCCGGCUCACUGCCAGGGCUGAGCGGCAUCACUUUUGAGUCUUGCUUAUAGGGCACUUUCAGUACAGAUCUAUUAAAUAAA